rnacentral:rRNA from 1 species
CUACGUGCCAGCAGCCGCGGUAAUACGUAGGGUGCGAGCGUUAAUCGGAAUUACUGGGCGUAAAGCGGGCGCAGACGGUUACUUAAGCAGGAUGUGAAAUCCCCGGGCUUAACCUGGGAACUGCGUUCUGAACUGGGUGACUAGAGUGUGUCAGAGGGAGGUAGAAUUCCACGUGUAGCAGUGAAAUGCGUAGAGAUGUGGAGGAAUACCGAUGGCGAAGGCAGCCUCCUGGGAUAACACUGACGUUCAUGCUCGAAAGCGUGGGUAGCAAACAGGAUUAGAUACCCUGGUAGUCCACGCCCUAAACGAUGUCAAUUAGCUGUUGGGCAACUUGAUUGCUUAGUAGCGUAGCUAACGCGUGAAAUUGACCGCCUGGGGAGUACGGUCGCAAGAUUAAAACUCAAAGGAAUUGACGGGGACCCGCACAAGCGGUGGAUGAUGUGGAUUAAUUCGAUGCAACGCGAAGAACCUUACCKGUCUUGACAU